rnacentral:hammerhead_ribozyme from 1 species
GUACUGCUGAAGAGUCUCAAACUAGAACGAAAUAGCUGUCCAGUAC